AAAAGCAAAAGUUUUAAUUUGUCACAACCUUCAGAACAGAAAUGCACUCAACUCUUGCAGUAUGGUGUGGAAAGAGGAAAUGGGCUGGUUCCCCCUUUCCUUAGCUGACCUAGAUUAGACCAGUCCUGGGGACAAUUUGGGAUUAUUUAACAUUGCUCCUGGCCAGUCUCUUCUCUAGCAUUACAUUUCGCAAGAGUUUCCCCUCUGUCUCCUAAAACUUCUUUCAAAUAGAAAUCCUGCAUUCUUUCCAAAUAAGAGAACCCACUCGUCUCAGAUAUGUUGUGAAAAAAGUCAUUUGUGAAGCACUCGGAUACUGUAGUGAUGAGCACCUUAGAGUCCACGAGGUAUUUGUUGACUUGCUCCUCACACUUUCUAAAAUCUUGGGAGAUACCCUACUUAAAUAUACAACUAGGGCUAUGUCUACACUGUCACUUAUGUCAGUAUAGCUUACAUUGCUCGGGGGUGUGAAUAAACCACCCCCGAGCGACAUAAAUUACACUGACCUAAGCACCAGUAUGGACAGUACUGUGUUGGUGAAAGUGCUUCUCCCACCAACAUAGCUUCGUUGAGUGUGGCUUAAUUAGGUCAAUGGUAGACGUGCAGCUUUGCUGCUGUAAGCUGUCUAGUGUAGCCAUAGCCUAGGACAUCUCCCAAAACCUUAAAGAAUGUGAGUAGCGAGUCAACAAAUAUCUACAAAAAUGGAAAUUUAAAAAUGCACCUUAAAUUGAUUACUUCUGUAUUCAAGUUUAAAAAGUGAGGGCUCACUUGAAAGGAGGGAAAUGCAAAAGAGUAGAAAACAAAACUAUGUUUGAGCCACUAGUAGUUACGACUUUUAGGGAAACCCAACAUUUAACUUUUUAUUACAGUGUUGUGGUUUCAUGGUAGGUGUACUACUUUAGUUUGCUGUGUUAAGUCCUUGCCACAAAGAAAAACACAAAGCAAAACAAAAAUCCAGUACACGUAGCUAGUGGAAAAUAGAGCAUAUUAAGUUGCUUCUGAAAAAAGAUGCUUUUGUUCUGAAUAUGAAAUGAAACUGCAAUUUUAAAGCUAGUGGGAAGAAUACAAGUUAACUGCAUUAAUUCAUCGAAUUCUAAGAUCAUACCUGAUGAUCUAUUUAUUGUGAUUUACUGUGAACUAUAUAAACAGAGUCAGAAUUUAUUUCUGGCUGAGAUUGUCCCAUGAACACAUAAUACUGUCUUAAAGCUAAAAGUGUAAAACUCCUGAAUCAUGUGCAGUAACCAUGGCCUACUGUUACUCCCAUCCCAAUAGCACACAACUUCACAGGGCUCUCACGAGCAGGUAAAUGUUAAACAAGGACAGCUCCUAACGUGGGUAGUCCAUCACAAGGCACUUU